GUUUCUCCUCUCUCUCUCUCCAUUCAAACUUCUGCCUCGUCUCUCCUCUCACUUUUCAUCGAUCGCUGCGUCGUCUUCUCCAUCCAUCAAGCAGCACGAAGCCCUCUCUCUCUCUAAAAACUCUCCCUCUCUCUAGCUUCCAAGAGCCCUCGCCUGUCGCCGUUGCCGUCGCCGUCGCCUCCAGGGGCCCCGUCGGCGGCUACGCUCCUCCAAGAGCCCCCGCCGGUCGCGGCUGCUGGUUCCCGAGCUAAGAUCCGCCUCCGCCUCCCUCCGCCAUCGCCUCUGCCGGAGUAUGUUCUUUUUUUGGCUAUUACUUCGAGCCUCUGCCGGAGAAUUAUUACUGGCUGGGUUCAAAAGGAACGAGUUCGGGUUUCCUGUCUAACCGUGGCCAAGUUUUGAUUUUUCUUUUCUUUUUUUUCUUUUUUUACGCUCGCUGACUUUCGUGAACAUGGGAUUUCUUCUCUCUCUCUCUCUCUCUCUCUUUUUGUUUUGUUUUGUUUUUUGUUUUUUCUGGGUUUUUAGAUUUUGAGUUGUCUAUGGUUGUUAAUGUCGUUUGUUUUGCAAUGCAGUCGUAAUUAAGAUGGACUCGUAAUCAGUCGCUGGAGCAUCGUGGAGGUUGAGCAAUUCCAUUAGGUGCUCACGCUUUCCUGUGUUGUGUUUUCUUUUGCCAUGAUGAUUCCCGAACUGGGUUUGCUUCAUUUGAUGUUCUUUUAUUUUCUCGAAUGAUAUCGUUGGGAAUCCCAUGUUGUGUCGUUUGGUGCAUCUUGUGGAGUGUUGGGUGUUCAGGAUGUCGAACCUCUCUGGCAUCGACUUAUUACUUAGAGUGCGUUGCGAAGCUUUAGUUUAAUCUUGUGGAAUUGGAUAAUUUCUAUAGUGGAGUAAAGAGCAUUCUAUCGUCUGUGAUUAUGGUUACGGCAGAGAAUUAGUUUCUCUCAGAUUAAACUGGUGGACUGCAAGAUGAUGUUAUUUCUGGAUAUGAAAUUUUCUGUUGAGUUUAGUCCGGG
rnacentral:lncRNA from 1 species